GGCACCUUUAUUAGAUAAGGACACUAAUUAUAGUGAGGUGGAGCAUUACUCAUUUACAUACUUCUGAGGAAACAAGAACAGCGACGUGUCUGAACUGAUAAAAGUUUAAAAGCUAAAGCCAAGCCAGGAAGAGGAAGACAAGAUGAGGAACCCCAAAUCAAGAACUGCAAGCUGAUUUUUGGGCUCAUCCAUUAAUUUUGUUGUGUUUGGAAAGAUGCAGGAUGCGGCGUCUCACCUGAGAGAGAAUCUUCCAUAUUUCUUUCUGAAAAUAUUGAAGUUUACAGUGGAGAUUUCCAGAAGCUACAUGACAUAUGAUACCACUACAGAUGAAUGCAGAAGAUAUGAGAAUCCAGAUGUCUUCUGUUAAGCCAGACAUUAAAGGGAUUUGCAAAAAUGUGAAACAACGCUACUUUUCUCACUAAUUUGACUGUGUUUUGGAAAGCAUGACAAAUUUUUACAAAUAUAUUACUUGUGAUUUAAAAUACUACCUCUCACCUCAAAAUUGAAUAGCUGUCACAUUUCUUCUUGCAUCUCAGAAUUUCAACUUUUAAUAUUUAGUUUUAGUAAAUUUGUAAUUUAUUUUGCUAUGUGGUAUGAGUUAGGGA